ensembl:lncRNA
CGCCCACUGAUCCAACACCUGGAAACAUCAGCACCGCGCAGCAGGUUCCUGAGGAGACGUUAAGGUUUAAAGCAACACGGAGACGCUUUUAUUUUAAAAAUAUACUUUUAAUACAACAGCUGCAUAUAAAUAUUAAAAUAUACAUAAUACAGGUGUACAGUACACUCACACAAAACAAAAUAUUAGGCUUCUAUUUGUACGGCACUUGUAUUUUUUUUUUUGUUUGUUUUGUAACUAUUUUCUUAAAGGUAACUUACGUUAAAGAUGUGUGUUAAUGUGUUAUCGUGGUUACUAGGUUACGGAGACGGGAAGAAGUAUACGUGUUGCUGUACAUAAUAUGUGACGUGACGUUGUGGAAUGUUUGCGCUGCAUCGCUUCCCAUCAUGCAACGCGACGACAACCGGGCUGUCGGUUAAAAGCCACGGAGGUUCGUCUCAGCCGCCUCUCGAGGAUCAUCGUCAUCAUCGUCAUCGUCAUCUGAUGAUUAUCUUUGAAUAAAGCGGAGACACACGAGCUGUAAAAACACCAGCAGCUUUGCAGAGAACAACUCGGCUUCCUCCGUCAGGUGAGAUCAGACAGCCGAGUGCGGCCAUCAAUCAAUGGACUAUCAAGGCCCGCCCCUUUUUUAUCAGACGUCCUUCUUCUCUGAUCACGCUUGGAUUGCGCCACGCUAACGUUAACAUAGGAAUGUUUGUCAUUGUAAAAGAGCAUUUGUGGUAAAAAUGUGUAAAGACAAUAAGGGAAAUGCGAGUAAGGAGAAGUGACGGCGUUUCGCUCACGGAGCCGCUUAACGACGAUAAAUGUUACAGCGUAAAACCGACGACGAGGCGCUAAGAUGACGAACAUACGGAACGCGGCAGAAUUCAACCGGAUCAAAAGCGUGUUUGUCUCUGUACGUAAUGAGGCCCACGGAGACAGAACCGAAAAGCUCGUUGACCAUUUUGCCAAGUCCAGCCCCCCCCCAACUAAACAGCCAAUGUGGAUCCAGCUUUCACUUUCUCCUCGGGGGGGGGGGCGGGGGGGCUGAGGACUGUUUACUUCCCUCUGUCUCCGGCUGACUUUAUGCAAAGUCACGCUCCACUAAAGGUGCUCUGGCGCAUCGCAGCGCCCCGUCUCAAAAGCUCGGGCCCCUCGAGGAGGUGAGGAGGUCAGGGCUCCUCCCCCAGCGGAGACAGGAAGUGGAGCUUCUGUCGGAGGGCCGGCGGCGCGUUGCAGAGAUUUGGAACGCCGCCCAGACGAGAGCUCAUCAAGGCUGGAAACAAAGCUGAGCGGCUUCUGCCUCCAUGUUCCUCAAUCGGAGGCCGACAUUUUGGUUGCCUUGUUUUUGGCUGUGUGUGUCUGUGUGUGCGUGUGUCUGUGUGCGUGUGUGUGUCUGUGUGCGUGUGUGCGUGCAGUAGUCAUGGUGACUCGGCUGCACGUGGGGCUCUGAGCUGCAGGCACUUCACAAGGCGACGCAAACAAACUGCUCAUUACAACAGAACAUAAAGUGCCCCCCCCUCUUGUGCCCCUACACGUUUGCAUUGCUUUAUCUUUUCUUACAGUAGCACCACACUCCGUCUCUUCUCCACCUCGGGGGGGCGGGUGGAGGUGCUUGUUUACCACAGUGCAGUUCAAAAGGGUCUUUGCUCUUUUCGUUUUUUACGUCCGACAACAUUUAGAGACCUCGGACACGUCGGUCUGCAGCUUCAGCAAAGACCACAGAAGAAGGGCUGAUUUUAGAAAUCUGACCGACGCCCACUACGUGAGCGUUGGGGGGGGGGGGGGGGGGCUCCUCAAAAAACAACAAAAUCUUAACUAAAAAACAACAACCACAAAACAAAUCUUAUUUGCUUUCUAAAUUGUUUUUUUUCUUCUAGUCGUUCAGGGGGGGGAGCUACAGGAAUCAGGUCGGGGGGGCUGAAGAAACGGCUCGGGGGGGGC